rnacentral:rRNA from 1 species
UACGGAGGGCGCAAGCGUUGUUCGGAAUCAUUGGGCGUAAAGCGCGUGUCGGCGGUCUGGUCAGUCGGGUGUGAAAUACCGGAGCUCAACUCCGGAACUGCAUUCGAUACUGCCAGGCUAGAGUCCCGGAGAUGGUGGUGGAAUUCCCGGUGUAGAGGUGAAAUUCGUAGAUAUCGGGAGGAACACCAGCGGCGAAGGCGGCCACCUGGACGGUGACUGACGCUGAGACGCGAAAGCGUGAGGAGCAAAUAGG